UUUAUAUGAAAUGUAAAAUUGACACCGAACCUACCAAUUUUUUUUACUGUGUACGUUUUCGCGGUCGUUGUGCUACUGUCAGAAAUCAGAUCAAAACAAGAAAAAAAAAUUUCGGACAAAAUCCAAACGAAAUGAUCAGAAAAGUUCUCUUUCGAUUCAAAUUUAGGGUUUCGAUUUCGAUUCCAUUAGGGAGGAUGUUGGUGGCUACAGAAUUAACCGAAAUGGCCACUGGCAGUUGUUUACGGUGAUUCUAAGUUUCGGACCUUCGGAGAGCAGGCACCCGAAGUGCCUUUUGUUAACGAAAUCGUCUUCCCUCUACAGCAUACAAAGCCUGAACUUCAGCCCAUAUCAAAGAAGCACGCAUCGUAUGACAUUAUCUAUCCCCGAGAACGUCCUUAUGCAGGCUCACCCUCAACCCGCUCGGAAACAAAAGUGACAAGCCACUGCCGAUGCAACCGGCAAAGAUUGAGUAAGGAAUUUAGUGUACGAAUGAAUGUAUAUUUCUGCGCU